GCCGCCGCCGUGCCGCGCCGCCGCCUGCGCCAACUGCGCACCUGGGAGCGCGCAAGGAGCACACACUGUGGCGGCCGCAUGCACCUGCGAGGAGACGCUUACGUAAACUGCGUCGCUGCCUCCCUCCCGGAGGCAGGCCCCCGCCUGCGGCAGCACCUGAGCCUUGCUGCGCUAGCGGCGAGAAAAAUUCAAAGCCUGGGACUUCCCUGGUGGCACAGUGGAUAGGAAUCUGCCAACGCUGGGAACGUGGGUUUGAUCCCUGGUCCGGGAAGAUUCCACACGCCGUGGAGCAACUAAGCCUGUGCACCACAACUACUGAGCCCAAAUGCUGAGACUACUGAAACCCAUGCACCUAGAGCCUGUGCUCCGAAACAAGAGAAGCCACCGAAAUGAGAAGCCCGUGCGCUGCAACUAGAAAGCAGCCCCCAUUUUGCAGCAAUUAGAGAAAGCCUGUGCAAACAGUGAAGACCCAGUGGGACCAAAAAUGAAAGUAAAUAAAGAGUUAAAAAAAAUUUUAAACCCAUUUUUCCAACUCUUCAAGAAGAAAUUCACUCUAGAAGAUACUCCUCAUCUAUCAAGUGGCUCUGAAUAGUCCCUGGCACACCACCACCUAGCCCUGACGGCUGUGAACUCCUCAGCAUCUCCCCGGCAGAGGCACCCAGUGACUCAUCAGAGAGCCCCUCUGCCUGGCGCCAGGCCGGGCGCAGGCGGGGUGUUGGGAGAGGUUGUUGAUAAGAGAUGGUCUUGCUGGGAGCCGCCUUCCAUCCUGAGGUUGCAGC
ensembl:lncRNA